ACCGCGCCCGGCUUUUUUUUUUUUUUUAAAUGAAUGAGAGGUUCUUAUGUUGCCCAGGCUGGCCUCGAACGCGUAGCCUCGCCUCCUCAAGCGCCAGGACAACUGGUCUAAGCCAUGGCUGCUCCCAAAGUCACCU